rnacentral:rRNA from 1 species
GACGAACGCUGGCGGCGCGCCUUACGCAUGCAAGUCGUACGCCGGGCUUCGGCCCGGAGUGGCAGACGGCUGAGUAACGCGUAGGCAACCUAUCCCACAGUGAGGAAUAACCCAUCGAAAGACGGGCUAAUACCACAUUCGUUCCAGGGGUGAAAUACCCCCUCGGAGGAAAGCCGCAAGGCGCUGAGGGAGGGGCCUGCGUCUUAUCAGGUAGUUGGUGAGGUAACGGCUCACCAAGCCGGCGACGGGUAGCUGGUCUGAGAGGACGACCAGCCAGACGGGGACUGAGACACGGCCCCGACUCCUACGGGAGGCAGCAGCGAGGAAUCUUGGGCAAUGGGCGAAAGCCUGACCCAGCGACGCCGCGUGGGGGAAGAAGGCCUUCGGGUCGUAAACCCCUUUUGCCGGGGAAGAAGCUCUGACGGUACCCGGCGAAUAAGCCACGGCUAACUACGUG